GCACGUUGCUGCAUUAAGCUAGGCAAAAGAGAGCAAUUAACAAGCUACACAAGGCCUUUAUGUGUUUUACUCUCGACCAAAACCAGGCAGAGCGUGUAUUUGUUUCUUGGGAAUUCCGACUGGUUUUUUGUGAUCCUGGAUCUGAAGUGGUUCUGGAUAUGGAUGGC